CUUAUCAAGAGUGGUUGAGGGACCGGCCCUAUGACACCACGGCAACCUGCUUAAAUGCAAGGUGCCAAAUCCGGCGAAGCGUAUCGCAAGAUGAGG
rnacentral:ncRNA from 1 species